AACGAACGCUGGCGGCAGGCCUAACACAUGCAAGUCGAGCGCUGUAGCAAUACAGAGCGGCGCACGGGUGAGUAACACGUGGGAACGUGCCCUUUGGUUCGGAAUAACUCAGGGAAACUUGAGCUAAUACCGGAUGAGCCCUAACGGGGAAAGAUUUAUCGCCGAAGGAGCGGCCCGCGUCGGAUUAGCUAGUUGGUGGGGUAAUAGCCUACCAAGGCAACGAUCCGUAGCUGGUUUGAGAGAACGACCAGCCACACUGGGACUGAGACACGGCCCAGACUCCUACGGGAGGCAGCAGUGGGGAAUCUUGGACAAUGGGGGAAACCCUGAUCCAGCCAUGCCGCGUGAGUGAUGAAGGCCCUAGGGUUGUAAAACUCUUUCGGCGGGGACGAUAAUGACGGUACCCGCAGAAGAAGCUCCGGCUAACUUCGUGCCAGCCGCCGCCGUAA
rnacentral:rRNA from 1 species